UAGCGAUGCCAAACAACUCGAUGCGCAAGCAGGUCUCGAAAGUGGGAUAGGCGCGAUACUGGCGGCCUUGUCAGGAAUCAAUAAUAUAUCCGGUCCCG
rfam:Phycisphaerae bacterium SM1_79 WOR1_30_36_2586, whole genome shotgun sequence.